UCAUGAACACAUACUGGCAAGUUUCAUCCAUACAUAUACAUAGUUUCAUCAAUAUUAUACAGUUUCAUCCAUAGGUAGCAAGUUUCACAAAGUCAAAACAAAAACUAAAGACAAGCACUCCAUAUCUGAAAUUACAAGAAAUGACCUAAAACUAAAUAUCUAUUUUCCUAAAAACUAUCUUAUUACAAAGAUCUUCUCUGGAUCUUCUUCUUUUCUUCCAACCUACAUAACAAAACCACUAAGAAAGAGAGAAUGGGUUAGUAGUAAAAAUGUAGAAUUUCACUUGGUGAAAUGCAAUGUUCAGUUUUUGUGUAAGUUUAUGUAGCAUUUCACUCCUAUCUUCCUAACUCAUUUCCAUCUGAUGCAAAGUGAGUGGAGUGUGGUACUAAUUUAUAUUGUACAACUUAUUAUGUUCUCACGUGUGUAUGUGUAUUUAGACACAGGAGCACUAUUGUUGGUGGGGAUUGGAACGCCUUGUGGUGUGUAGCAGUCGCACAUAACCAAGGAGUAUUAAAUAGGAAAAUAUCAACAAACCAACGACUUUGCGCCAAAUACAGUAGAAACUUGGCCUCUGAUUUAGUUGAAGCUUUUUUUUUCUCAGUUCAAGUAUUUAAGAUUUGUGUUAGUGAAACAGUUGUCUAAAAGGCCAAGUUGUUUCUCUGAAGAUACAGUCUCAUAAGCAAUUAAUUAUGAGCCAAGUAGGUCAACUAGUGGAAUUUUAGGGUGUUUACACAGGUGCAAACACCUGGUUAUUUUGUCCACCAGAUCACACAUAUGUCCAAGCACAUCAAACAGCCACAAAAUCCAGUUUUCAUUUUUAAAAUUAAGCCACAAAAUUCAGUUUUUUAUUUUUAAAAUUUAGCGGUGCCCAGAAACAAUGUUUUCCUGUGAUUUUUUUCAAAGACCCAUCUGCAUCUUACUUUUCCUACUUUAUUUCAUCCAGCAUCUUUGGUGCAUAAAAAGUUUGAAAGAAUUAUGGAAGAUAAAAAGUAGCGACGACUUACAUGGAGGUUGUCACCCCUCCUGAACGGGUCCUUGAAAAUGGCGGGGGGGGGGGGAUUCAUCAGAGUCAAAAAGAAAAAAUAGCUUGUAGGAAAACAAGGAAAGUAGAAAUACUGUAAGAUUCGUGCAAAGUUUAGUUUUCAGAUUUUCCUUUUCCUUUCUUACAAAGAUAUGUCACUUCACUGAGACUUUGUUAAAUCUCAAUCGACUCAGACAUAGCUACGCCCUUGUUUUAUAUAAGAAACUGUUUUUAGACUAGCCUCCAAUUUAUACAUACUUCAUGUACAUUUUUUUGCAUUGGUAGCAAUGUCAUUGUUCUGACAUUUUUUGCAGCGAUUUAGUUAACUUUAAUGUGGGUGCUCUAAUUGGUCAUAAUUAAUCCAACAAAAUUAACAGCAUACUUUGCCUAUGAUUUGUUUAUAUAGCAUACUGGGCUGUGUUUUGACAUUUCGCUUGCUUUCCGUAAAAAGUAGAGUAAUCUUACAUUGCAAGAUCACCAAAUUAACACUAUUUUUAUCAAAUAAUUUGAUUUGGCCAAGAAGGAGAAGUCUAAAAGCAAACAAACCUUGUUUGCAUCAAGAGUUUUGCUUAGUAUCUACAUAUCUGAAUGUGGCCGAUGUGAUACUUGUCUUUGUACAAAGCCAUGAAGCUGUCCACGACAAAUGUUUAACCAUAUCCUGCAGGAACAAGCACAGGGGAAUUACGGAGACAGCGCCACACACAUGAGAUUAGAGACAGCACCGCACAGAUGUGUACUUGUCCUGCAUGAGGUGGGGAAAGUUGAAGUCGCCGUACAUGGUUGUACCUGUUUAGGUCGAGCGCGACGACGGGGUACCAGCUGGCCGGCACAAAUCGGGGCCCCCCUUGGUUCCAGGGGCUCGGGGCGGCCGCCCCGUCCGCCCCCCCCCCUCAGGGUAGGGCCUGGAGGAGCUCGGUGCUCGGCUACCAUGGCGGCGGCGGAUCUUGAGGUCGGGCGACCAGCGAUGAGGCUUCCGCGGCGGGGCGGCGAGCUUGUGGGGAGGUGGCG
rnacentral:lncRNA from 1 species